AUGACCGUGACGCUCGAGGAUGUCUCGUUGAUCACCGGUCUUGCUAUCGACGGGAUGCCUCUCUGUAUGAGCACCGAUUCUGAUGGGUGACGCGAGCAGAUGAUUGCUCUUAUCGGUAUGGCUCCUACUGAGGAGGAGGGACAAGAGAAGAAGAAGAGGGAAAGGAAAGCAGCCGGAGCUGCUUUCACAUGGAUUCAAACUCACUUUGCGACGUGCCCUCCGGAUGCCACUGAUUAUGUGAUCCAGACACAUGCUCGUGUCUACAUGUGGUAUGUUGUGUCGAGGACUUUGUUUCCUGACUCCACUGGCAAGAACGCUCCAUGGAUGUGGCUGAAGGCGUUGACCGUCUUCGAUAGCAAAUGGAGCUGGGGUUCAGCGACUCUUGCCUACUUGUACCGACAGGUAGUUGGUCUGUUUUGUGAUCAACUCAUUCUUCAUUAG
rnacentral:rRNA from 1 species